UUGCCUCCCGGCUCUAUUUAUUCUUUAUUGAAAUCAACAUAAAACAGAUGCAUUAAUAAUCGGGACCGGAUGACAAAAGAAAACUGCAGGUACGGUGGUUCCAGUUCUGCAUUCAUGUCACACGGACAUCAUCGUUAAGCCAUUACCUGGAUCUUAUUUAAACUACUGACGGGAUCCUUUCCGAUUUUAUCACCUACAGUUUCCCAUCAUUGCGAUGUUUAUAGAGUUUUACUGACUAUAUGGUGAUAUCAUGAAAGCAACCACGUGACUCGUUGCCUUGGAUCUUCGUGUAAUAUAAGCCAUUCACAAAUCUACGUUUCAGUUUUGAUCAUCCAAAGGUUCCAGUCUUAAACGUGGAUUUUUACAAACUGCUUGUGUGGUGGUAUUAUUUAAGCAAAAUAUAACUCGCUACCUUUAUUCUUGGCGAUAUUAUUAAGCUACCCACGGGACGACGUUUCAGUUUUGGUCGCUUGCUGAUGUUACAUGUAAACCAUGUAUGCUUCGUGAAUUCAGUUUCUGGCAGAGAUAGAUCUAUCAUCUACGACGAGAUCAUCAAGAAAUAUUAUAUUCCCAGAACCUUAAAGUUAAUCUAGAUGCAAGAAACCACAAUGUGAUCUAGAAGCAUUGGUGAAUAACACAUCACCGGAAACGGGUUCUAAAACUUUUCCCGGUGCUAGCUAAUCUGUGAUUUGGAAGCAGUGUUGUGAUCGACGGAAUUUGUGCAAGGGAAUAAUGAUAAUCGUUCAUGGUUUAAGAUAUCCCCAAUUUCGUUUCAUGUAAAACUUUCAGUCAAUUGACCCUCCUGUUUGAAAUUUUAAGUUGCCAGUUCCAGAUGAUGCCGACUAAUUAUAAAAUGGUUUUCUUCCAUUACCUGUCAUUAGGAUUACUCAUAAGCGUUUUGUUUCAGUGUAAUGUAGUUUUAUCUGAGGUGACUUCUGAAGAUAACCAGGAACCGAGUAAAACAUCUAGUAAAAAUGAAGAAGGUUUGACAGUAGAGUCUGUAGUUCUGGGCCCUUUAAGGGUGUGGCAUAUAGUUUUUAUAGUGUGUACUGUUUUAAUAGUUAUAAUGGUGGUUGUGUGUUGUUGUUUUGAUUUCCGUAUACCAAGAACUCGUCAAGAAAUAGAAGAAAGUUACAAUAAACGACGGGCUAAUGCAAAAUAUUUAAAUUAUCUAGAAAAGUCGCCUUCAGGGUUGAUACAAAACAAC